rnacentral:misc_RNA from 1 species
UCAUCCUUGAAUUUCAAACCAAUUGGUAAAUCACAUAAACAUUAAACAAUUCCCUGGAAUCCAGAAGUGGGUUUCUAGAUCUUACAAGAGUCCACAUACCAGGAAUCUCCCAUUCAUAUCAAGAAGACAAUUUAUAAUUCUAAUCAAAAGAAAACAAUAAUCGAAUCUGAGGUGGCAAAGUGCACCAGUUAGAAGUUCAGGGAUCUAGGAGAAAUGGCUGUAACAAAAAGUAACCAUUACCAAUGACAAAAGUUCAAUUUCUAUACAAAAUAAACUUCAACAGACCAUGAACACAAUUUUCAAGCCAGCACAACCAGCACCAAAUGUUUCUCUCUUAACCCACUAAUUAUCUGUAUAGUAAUCAGUUAAGGAAUUAAAUGACUUUGUCUCUGCACACUUAUACCUUGUGGAAGCACACCACUCAUUAAUCUAUUCUGUCCUUGCAAGCUUAAACUUCCAGAUCCACUAUUAGCAGUUAGAUUUAGCCGAGAUGCAAGACCAGGAACAGAUAAUCCUCCACCUGAGCUUAUGCUCCUCCCAAUGUUG